rnacentral:rRNA from 1 species
UACGUAGGGGGCAAGCGUUGUCCGGAAUCAUUGGGCGUAAAGCGCGUGUAGGCGGUUCGGUAAGGCGGGUGUGAAACCCCAGGGCUCAACCCUGGGCCGGCAUCCGCGACUGCCGGGCUGGAGUGCGGGAGGGGAGAGCGGAAUUCCCGGUGUAGCGGUGAAAUGCGCAGAUAUCGGGAGGAACACCGGUGGCGAAGGCGGUUCUCUGGGCCUGUACUGACGCUGAGGAGCGAAAGCGUGGGGAGCGAACAGG